rnacentral:lncRNA from 12 species
ACCUGCUGCCCUUGGGGUGGUGCCGUGGAUCACUGGGAAUGGGGAAUGGGAUUGGGAACGGGAUCAUGGAUCCCUGGAGAGCUGGGAAUGGGGCACGGGAUUGGGAAUGGGAUUUGGAGUGGGAUCAUGGAUCCCUGGGAAUAGAGAAUGGGAUCAGGAAUGAGAGCAGGAAUGGGAUUGGGAAUGGGGUCAUGGAUUCCGGGGAAUAGGGAAUGGGGCCAUGGAUUCCUGGGAAUAGGGAAUGGGAUCGAAAAUGGGAAUGGAAUCAGAAACAGGAUCAGGAAUGGGGAAUGGGGAAUGGGGAAUGGGGAAUGGGAUCCCCCAGGGAAUAGGAAAUGGGAUCAGGAAUGGGAUUGGGAAUGAGGCCAUGGAUCCCUGGGAAAGGGGAAUGGGAUAGGGAAUGGGAUCAAGAAUGGGAGCAGGAAUGGGAUCAUGGAUCCCUGGGAACAGGGAAUGGGAUCAGGAACCAGACUGGGAAUGGGGUCAAUAAUGGGAUCAGGAACGGCAUUGGGAAUGGGGUCAAUAAUGGGAUCGGAAACGGGAUCAGGAAUGGGAUUGGGAACGGGAUCAGGAAUGGAAUGAGGAAUGGGAUGAGGAAUGGGAUCAGGAACAGGAUGAAGAACGGGAUUGGGAACAGGAUCGGGAAUGGGAUCAGGAAUGGGAUGAAGAAGGGGAUCAGGAAUGGGAUCAGGAACGGGAUCAGGAAUGGGAUCAGGAAUGGGAUGAAGAACAGGAUUAGGAAUGGGAUCAGGAACAGGAUCAGGAAGGAGCGAGAAGCAGACAGGAAAAACCUGAAGCAGACCCCAUCCCCCACCACCAUCCCCCAUUGGAGCAGAUCCCCAAACCCCAAACCCGCACUCCGGAGCUCCCUCCGCCUUCCCAAACCCCCGGCAUGGCGGCUGAGCGCGGCCGUUGCUCCGGCAGGUCCCGGACGCGGCGCUGAGGCCUCCAGGGCUCUACUGCAACCAGCUGGGCUCCGGGGAGCUGCUCAAGGCCGAGCCGGACGGCGCCCAGGACGCGAAGACCGAAGAGUUCUUCUCUGGGGUGGCUCCAGACUAGAGGAGAAGUUCUCUAGUGAGUUUCCCGCUUCACGUAGUUCCCAGAUCCCGCUGCCGCCCCUUCCCCGGAUCCGCUAAAUCCCGUUUUAGAUCGGAAGAGCGGUUCAGCAGGCCCCCCCCCCCCCCCCCCCCCCCCCCCCCCCCCCCCCCCCUUUUUUUUUUUUUUUUUGUAUUUUUUUUUUUGGGAAUCCCUCCCAGGUGCAGCAGGUCCAGGUGUUCGCCGACGUCCAGUGCACGGUGAAUUUGGUGGGAGAUCCUUACCUCAACCCGCCGCCGGCUCCGUUGGCCAAUCCCAAAAAUCCCGGCCCCCCCCCCCCCCCCCCCCCCCCCCCCCCCCCCCCCCCCCCCCCCCCCCCCCCCCCCCCCCCCCCCCCCCCCCCCCCCCCCCCCCCCCCCCCCCCCCCCCCCCCCCCCCCCCCCCCCCCCCCCCCCCCCCCCCCCCCCCCCCCCCCCCCCCC